GAUCCCGCCGGANGCGACCGCUAUUGGAAUUCGAUUAANCCAUGCGAGUCGAGAGUCUUAGGGACUCGGCGUACCGCUCAGUAACACGUGGGUAACCUGCCCUGUGCUGGGGAAUAACCUCGGGAAACUGAGAAUAAUGCCCCAUAGUUCACUACGCCUGGAACGGUGGGUGGAUCAAAGCUCCGGCGGCACAGGAUGGGCCUGCGGCGUAUCAGGUUGUAGGGGGUGUAACGUACCCUCUAGCCUUCAACGCGUACGGGUUGUGGGGGCAAUCGCCCGGAGAUGGAUUCUGAGACACGAAUCCAGACCCUACGGGGUGCAGCAGGCGCGAAAACUUCACACUGCAGGAAACUGUGAUGAGGGAAUUCCAAGUGGCUAGACAAAGUCUAGUCUUUUUGUAACUUUUAAUCGGUUACAGAAUAAGGGGUGGGAAAGACCGGUGCCAGCCGCCGCGGUAAUACCGGCACCUCAAGUGGUCGUCGCUUUUAUUGGGCCUAAAA
rnacentral:rRNA from 1 species